AUGCUGUGGGCUCUAGCCCUACUUCUAGCCACCCUGCCUCCUGGUAGCCAAACAUCCAGGUCGGAAGGGAGAAUGAUGUCAGUCACAAGUUCACCUGGGUCAUAUGUGCCAAUCACUUGUGAUUUACGUGAAGCAAGUACCUACAUCCACUGGUACCAAUUCAAGGAGGGGAAGGCCCCACGAUACCUUCUGUACUAUAAUCUUCUCAAUUGUAGGGUUGUGGUAGACUCAGGAAUCAUUUCAGAGAAAUAUGAUGCUAAUAAAGGCCCAGAUGGGAGAUGUAAAUUAGAAGUACGAAAUGUGGUCGAAAGUGACUCUGCUGUGUAUUACUGUGCCUWCUGGACUCGCACAGUGGUUCAGACCUGCCUUUAUCUGUACUCAAAAUGUUGCUUUGACUGCUCCUGGUACACAGAUAGAGAUCAGCCCCCUUYCUAUUUCCUGCCCCUGACCUCACUGUAA